CUGAGUACAGCGGCGGACGGGUGAGUAACGCGUAGGAAUCUACCCAGUAGUGGGGGACAACUUAGGGAAACUUAAGCUAAUACCGCAUACGACCCACGGGUGAAAGCAGGGGAUCGCAAGACCUUGCGCUAUUGGAUGAGCCGAAGUCGGAUUAGCUUGUUGGUGAGGUAACGGCUCACCAAGGCGACGAUCCGUAGCUGGUCUGAGAGGACGACCAGCCACACUGGGACUGAGACACGGCCCAGACUCC
rnacentral:rRNA from 1 species